UUAAGCGACUAAGCGUACACGGUGGAUGCCCUGGCAGUCAGAGGCGAUGAAGGACGUGCUAAUCUGCGAAAAGCGUCGGUAAGGUGAUAUGAACCGUUAUAACCGGCGAUGUCCGAAUGGGGAAACCCAGUGCAAUUCGUUGCACUAUCGUUAACUGAAUACAUAGGUUAACGAGGCGAACCGGGGGAACUGAAACAUCUAAGUACCCCGAGGAAAAGAAAUCAACCGAGAUUCCCCCAGUAGCGGCGAGCGAACGGGGAGCAGCCCAGAGUCUGAAUCAGCUUGUGUGUUAGUGGAACGGUCUGGAAAGUCCGACGGUACAGGGUGAUAGUCCCGUACACCAAAAUGCACAGGCUGUGAACUCGAAGAGUAGGGCGGGACACGUGGUAUCCUGUCUGAAUAUGGGGGGACCAUCCUCCAAGGCUAAAUACUCCUGACUGACCGAUAGUGAACCAGUACCGUGAGGGAAAGGCGAAAAGAACCCCGGCGAGGGGAGUGAAAAAGAACCUGAAACCGUGUACGUACAAGCAGUGGGAGCACCUUCGGGUGUGACUGCGUACCUUUUGUAUAAUGGGUCAGCGACUUAUAUUCUGUAGCAAGGUUAACCGUAUAGGGGAGCCGCAGGGAAACCGAGUCUUAACUGGGCGUUAAGUUGCAGGGUAUAGACCCGAAACCCGGUGAUCUAGCCAUGGGCAGGUUGAAGGUUGGGUAACACUAACUGGAGGACCGAACCGACUAAUGUUGAAAAAUUAGCGGAUGACUUGUGGCUGGGGGUGAAAGGCCAAUCAAACCGGGAGAUAGCUGGUUCUCCCCGAAAGCUAUUUAGGUAGCGCCUCGUGAACUCAUCUUCGGGGGUAGAGCACUGUUUCGGCUAGGGGGUCAUCCCGACUUACCAACCCGAUGCAAACUACGAAUACCGAAGAAUGUUAUCACGGGAGACACACGGCGGGUGCUAACGUCCGUCGUGAAGAGGGAAACAACCCAGACCGCCAGCUAAGGUCCCAAAGUCAUGGUUAAGUGGGAAACGAUGUGGGAAGGCACAGACAGCCAGGAUGUUGGCUUAGAAGCAGCCAUCAUUUAAAGAAAGCGUAAUAGCUCACUGGUCGAGUCGGCCUGCGCGGAAGAUGUAACGGGGCUAAACCAUGCACCGAAGCUGCGGCAGCGACACUAUGUGUUGUUGGGUAGGGGAGCGUUCUGUAAGCCUGCGAAGGUGUGCUGUGAGGCAUGCUGGAGGUAUCAGAAGUGCGAAUGCUGACAUAAGUAACGAUAAAGCGGGUGAAAAGCCCGCUCGCCGGAAGACCAAGGGUUCCUGUCCAACGUUAAUCGGGGCAGGGUGAGUCGACCCCUAAGGCGAGGCCGAAAGGCGUAGUCGAUGGGAAACAGGUUAAUAUUCCUGUACUUGGUGUUACUGCGAAGGGGGGACGGAGAAGGCUAUGUUAGCCGGGCGACGGUUGUCCCGGUUUAAGCAUGUAGGCUGGUUGUCCAGGCAAAUCCGGAUAAUCAAGGCUGAGGUGUGAUGACGAGGCACUACGGUGCUGAAGUAACAAAUGCCCUGCUUCCAGGAAAAGCCUCUAAGCAUCAGGUAACAUCAAAUCGUACCCCAAACCGACACAGGUGGUCAGGUAGAGAAUACCAAGGCGCUUGAGAGAACUCGGGUGAAGGAACUAGGCAAAAUGGUGCCGUAACUUCGGGAGAAGGCACGCUGGUGUGUAGGUGAAGCCCCUGCGGGUGGAGCUGAGACCAGUCGAAGAUACCAGCUGGCUGCAACUGUUUAUUAAAAACACAGCACUGUGCAAACACGAAAGUGGACGUAUACGGUGUGACGCCUGCCCGGUGCCGGAAGGUUAAUUGAUGGGGUUAUCCGUAAGGAGAAGCUCUUGAUCGAAGCCCCGGUAAACGGCGGCCGUAACUAUAACGGUCCUAAGGUAGCGAAAUUCCUUGUCGGGUAAGUUCCGACCUGCACGAAUGGCGUAAUGAUGGCCAGGCUGUCUCCACCCGAGACUCAGUGAAAUUGAACUCGCUGUGAAGAUGCAGUGUACCCGCGGCAAGACGGAAAGACCCCGUGAACCUUUACUAUAGCUUGACACUGAACAUUGAGCCUUGAUGUGUAGGAUAGGUGGGAGGCUUUGAAGCGUGGACGCCAGUCUGCGUGGAGCCAACCUUGAAAUACCACCCUUUAAUGUUUGAUGUUCUAACGUUGGCCCCUUACCGGGGUUGCGGACAGUGUCUGGUGGGUAGUUUGACUGGGGCGGUCUCCUCCCAAAGCGUAACGGAGGAGCACGAAGGUUAGCUAAUCCUGGUCGGACAUCAGGAGGUUAGUGCAAUGGCAUAAGCUAGCUUGACUGCGAGCGUGACGGCGCGAGCAGGUGCGAAAGCAGGUCAUAGUGAUCCGGUGGUUCUGAAUGGAAGGGCCAUCGCUCAACGGAUAAAAGGUACUCCGGGGAUAACAGGCUGAUACCGCCCAAGAGUUCAUAUCGACGGCGGUGUUUGGCACCUCGAUGUCGGCUCAUCACAUCCUGGGGCUGAAGUAGGUCCCAAGGGUAUGGCUGUUCGCCAUUUAAAGUGGUACGCGAGCUGGGUUUAGAACGUCGUGAGACAGUUCGGUCCCUAUCUGCCGUGGGCGCUGGAGAAUUGAGGGGGGCUGCUCCUAGUACGAGAGGACCGGAGUGGACGCAUCACUGGUGUUCGGGUUGUCAUGCCAAUGGCACUGCCCGGUAGCUAAAUGCGGAAGAGAUAAGUGCUGAAAGCAUCUAAGCACGAAACUUGCCCCGAGAUGAGUUCUCCCUGAGACUUUAAGUCUCCUGAAGGAACGUUGAAGACGACGACGUUGAUAGGCCGGGUGUGUAAGCGCAGCGAUGCGUUGAGCUAACCGGUACUAAUGAACCGUGAGGCUUAACCUU
rnacentral:rRNA from 2 species